UACGUAGGGUGCAAGCGUUAAUCGGAAUUACUGGGCGUAAAGGGUGCGUAGGCGGCCCUGUAAGUUGGAUGUGAAAGCCCCGGGCUCAACCCGGGAAAUAGCAUUCAAAACUACAGAGCUCGAGUGUGGAAGAGGAUGGUGGAAUUUCCAGUGUACGAGGUGAAAUUCGAUAGAUAUUGGAAAGAACACCCGUGGCGAAGGCGGCCAUCUGGUCCACAACUGACGCUGAGGCACGAAAGCGUGGGGAGCAAACAGG
rnacentral:rRNA from 1 species